rnacentral:rRNA from 1 species
UACAGAGGUGGCAAGCGUUGUUCGGAAUUACUGGGCGUAAAGGGCGCGUAGGCGGCCUUCUAAGUCAGACGUGAAAUCCCCCGGCUUAACCUGGGAACUGCGUCUGAUACUGGGAGGCUUGAGUAUGGGAGAGGGAUGUAGAAUUCCAGGUGUAGCGGUGAAAUGCGUAGAUAUCUGGAGGAACACCGGUGGCGAAGGCGGCGAUCUGGCCCAACAUUGACACUGAGACCCGAAAGCGUGGGGAGCAAACAGG